rnacentral:rRNA from 1 species
AGGACAAACGCUGGCGGCGUGCAUAACACAUGCAAGUCGAACGAGCCUAGCGAUAGGCGAGUGGCGGACGGGUGAGGAACACGUGGAUGACCGACCUUUUACUGGGGAAUACCCGUGGGAAACCACGGCUAAAUACCGCAUACGUUCGAGAGAAGAAAGCCUUCGGGCGGUAAGAGACGGGUCUGCGGUCGAUUAGCUAGUUGGUGCGGUAACGGCGUACCGAGGCGACGACGGGUAGCCGGCCUGAGAGGGCGACCGGCCACACUGGGACUGAGACACGGCCCAGACUCCUACGGGAGGCAGCAGUGGGGAAUAUUGCGCAAUGGGCGGAAGCCUGACGCAGCGACGCCGCGUGGGGGAUGAAGGCCUUCGGGUGUAAACCCUUUCAGCAGGGACGAAGCGCAAGUGACGGUACCUGCAGAAGAAGCGCCGGCUAACUACGUGCCAGCAGCCGC